CCUACGGGUGGCAGCAGUGGGGAAUAUUGGACAAUGGGCGAAAGCCUGAUCCAGCCAUGCCGCGUGUGUGAAGAAGGCCUUCGGGUUGUAAAGCACUUUCAGUGGGGAAGAAAGCCUUGGGGCUAAUACCCUCGAGGAAGGACAUCACCCACAGAAGAAGCACCGGCUAACUCCGUGCCAGCAGCCGCGGUAAUACGGAGGGUGCGAGCGUUAAUCGGAAUUACUGGGCGUAAAGCGCGCGUAGGCGGUCUGAUAAGCCGGGUGUGAAAGCCCCGGGCUCAACCUGGGAACGGCAUCCGGAACUGUCAGGCUAGAGUGCAGGAGAGGAAGGUAGAAUUCCCGGUGUAGCGGUGAAAUGCGUAGAGAUCGGGAGGAAUACCAGUGGCGAAGGCGGUCUUCUGGACUGACACUGACGCUGAGGUGCGAAAGCGUGGGUAGCAAACAGGAUUAGAUACCCCGGUAGUC
rnacentral:rRNA from 1 species